AUUAUAUAAGUUCUGGAAACAAUUUUAUCCAUGUAAAGAAAGCUUUAGCAUUUUUCAAUAUAAAGUUAUCAAAGCAUUUUCUAAUUGUUCUAUGCAAAGAGGGGAAAUAUAUGAAGCUUAUGAAGUUUGCAUUUGUUAUGAUCCUAUUUCUUUCCUUAUUUUUUGUUGAAGCGAGAUAUUUUGAAUGUAAUGAUGACCCAACAUGUGAAAAAAAAAUUAAGUGUAAACCUUCUACGACUCCACAAUGUAGAAAUCACCAAUGUAUUUGUUCUUCUCCAAAUAAACCCAAAAAUUAUUGGAAUCCAGACAUGGUAAAAGCCCGGUGAAUAAAUGAUAAAAGAUUAUGUGAGUAAGCGACCAAGGAAAGUCUAAGGAUAGAAUUAUUUCUUCUGAUGGCCAAAAAUCUAAGAAGUACUAUUUAUGAUAAAAUAUUCUAUAAUAUGUCAUUUAAUUAUGUUAAUUAUUAUGUUGGCACCAAAUAAUUGAAUUUUUUUAUUUUUAUUUUUCAUUCCUAAUUUCAUAGACUAUGUAACUAUGGCUUUGUACUUUAAGAUGAUGGUAAGGAAAUGAAAUAAAGUAGCCAAUGAUAUUAUUUAAAUUGA